rnacentral:rRNA from 1 species
UACGUAGGGGGCGAGCGUUAUCCGGAAUUACUGGGCGUAAAGCGCACGCAGGCGGUUCGCCAAGUUUGGAGUGACAGUUGUCGGUUCAACCGACAAAGGACUUCAAAAACUGGUGAACUUGAGGACGAGAGAGGAACAUGGAACUCCAGGUGUAGUAGUGAAAUGCGUAGAUAUCUGGAAGAACACCAAUGGCGAAGGCAAUGUUCUGGCUCGUUUCUGACGCUCAGGUGCGAAAGCCAGGGGAGCGAACGGG